GACGAACGCUGGCGGCGUGCUUAACACAUGCAGGUCGAACGGAAAGGCCCUGCUUUUGUGGGGUGCUCGAGUGGCGAACGGGUGAGUAACACGUGAGUAACCUGCCCUUGACUUUGGGAUAACUUCAGGAAACUGGGGCUAAUACCGGAUAGGAGCUCCUGCUGCAUGGUGGGGGUUGGAAAGUUUCGGCGGUUGGGGAUGGACUCGCGGCUUAUCAGCUUGUUGGUGGGGUAGUGGCUUACCAAGGCUUUGACGGGUAGCCGGCCUGAGAGGGUGAGCGGCCACAUUGGGACUGAGAUACGGCCCAGACUCCUACGGGAGGCAGCAGUGGGGAAUAUUGCACAAUGGGCGGAAGCCUGAUGCAGCAACGCCGCGUGCGGGAUGACGGCCUUCGGGUUGUAAACCGCUUUCGCCUGUGACGAAGCGUGAGUGACGGUAAUGGGUAAAGAAGCACCGGCUAACUACGUG
rnacentral:rRNA from 1 species